rnacentral:rRNA from 1 species
AUUGAACGCUGGCGGCAUGCCUUACACAUGCAAGUCGAACGGCAGCGCGGACUUCGGUCUGGCGGCGAGUGGCGAACGGGUGAGUAAUACAUCGGAGCGUACCCUGUUGUGGGGGAUAACUAGUCGAAAGAUUAGCUAAUACCGCAUACGACCUGAGGGUGAAAGGGGGGGACCGCAAGGCCUCACGCAGCAGGAGCGGCCGAUGUCUGAUUAGCUAGUUGGUGGGGUAAAGGCCCACCAAGGCGACGAUCAGUAGCUAGUCUGAGAGGACGAUCAGCCACACUGGGACUGAGACACGGCCCAGACUCCUACGGGAGGCAGCAGUGGGGAAUUUUGGACAAUGGGGGCAACCCUGAUCCAGCAAUGCCGCGUGUGUGAAGAAGGCCUUCGGGUUGUAAAGCACUUUUGUCCGGAAAGAAAUCGCGCUGGUUAAUACCUGGCGUGGAUGACGGUACCGGAAGAAUAAGCACCGGCUAACUACGUG